rnacentral:misc_RNA from 1 species
GAUGAAGAACGUAGCGAAAUGCGAUAAGUAAUGUGAAUUGCAGAAUUCAGUGAAUCAUCGAAUCUUUGAACGCACAUUGCGCCCGCCAGUAUUCUAGCGGGCAUGCCUGUUCGAGCGUCAUUUCAACCAUCAAGCCCCCGGCUUGUGUUGGGGACCUGCGGAUGCCGCAGGCCCUGAAAACCAGUGGCGGGCUCGCUGUCACACCGAGCGUAGUAGAUUUUCAUCUCGCUCAGGGCGUGCUGCGGGUUCCGGCCGUAAAAAGCCUUAUUUACCCAAGGUUGACCUCGGAUCAGGUAGGAAGACCCGCUGAACUUAAGCAUAUCAAUAAGCGGAGGA